UCCACAGUCAUGGUGGUUUGGUCACU
rnacentral:piRNA from 1 species